ACCGGCGGCUCGAGUGGUAACCGUUAUUAUUGGGUCUAAAGGGUCUGUAGCCGGCCGGAUAAGUCUCUUGAGAAAUCUGGCAGCUUAACUGUCAGGCUUUCAGGAGAUACUGUCUGGCUCGAGGCCGGGAGAGGUGAGAGGUACUUCAGGGGUAGGGGUGAAAUCUUGUAAUCCUUGAAGGACCACCAGUGGCGAAGGCGUCUCACCAGAACGGACCUGACGGCAAGGGACGAAAGCUAGGGGCACGAACCG
rnacentral:rRNA from 2 species